rnacentral:rRNA from 1 species
AUUGAACGCUGGCGGCAUGCUUUACACAUGCAAGUCGAACGGUAACAGGCCGCAAGGUGCUGACGAGUGGCGAACGGGUGAGUAAUGCAUCGGAACGUGCCCAGUCGUGGGGGAUAACUACUCGCAAGAGUAGCUAAUACCGCAUACGAUCUAUGGAUGAAAGCGGGGGACCGUAAGGCCUCGCGCGCUUGGAGCGGCCGAUGUCAGAUUAGGUAGUUGGUGGGGUAAAGGCUCACCAAGCCAACGAUCUGUAGCUGGUCUGAGAGGACAACCAGCCACACUGGGACUGAGACACGGCCCAGACUCCUACGGGAGGCAGCAGUGGGGAAUUUUGGACAAUGGGCGCAAGCCUGAUCCAGCAAUGCCGCGUGCAGGAAGAAGGCCUUCGGGUUGUAAACUGCUUUUGUACGGAACGAAACGGCUCUGGUUAAUACCCGGGACUAAUGACAGUACCGGAAGAAUAAGCACCGGCUAACUACGUG